rnacentral:sRNA from 1 species
GAAAAACCCAGGCUCAGCAGUUUCCCUGCUGUCUACUUCUCAGAAAUUGUUCCACACUCCCAGGGCUGUAUUCCAGGUUUUUAUUGUGCACUUUAAAUUGGGCUAUCUCUCAACAGUUGCAUUUAAUUGGGUGAUUAUUAAAAACCUCGAGCAAGUUCAGUCACUCUCACCCAGAAAAUGCCCUGGUGUCCAACUUGAAGGCUUGAAUGAGACCAACCUUCUCUCAGGUCCACUGUCCUGCUGGGAGCUGCACGGUAGGGGGGAGCAAAGAUAGGGCUGUGGGUGGAUGUGUCCUCUUGUGGAGUUUGGAAACCACCUAAUGACAGCCCCCACCCAUUACCUACUUCUAAUCACGAAUGGACUGAAAAGCUUAACCCUUAUCACUGCUGCAGCAGAAAGCCAUUUGUCAUAUAUAGAUAUGCUGUGGGCAAAAUGCACACAAUCACAAGGGUAUGAGAUACUCUGAGGUGGGGAUCUUGUUUCAGAGCCAUGCUGUGUAACAAAAGGUACUGUUCUAGAACAGCCGCAGGAGGGUUCCUGAGAGAACUGAAAGGAAACCUUGCUUCCUGACAGAUGUGGCUACAGUGUCAAAAUCGAGUCUCAGAAUGCCCUUGGGAGCACAUAGCACAGACAGUGACUGGAACAUCUGUGGAAUCCCGAAUCCUUGGUUUCCGAGUGAGUGUGCGAACAUCCCACUGACUAGUUCCCUGCAAGUGCUGACGUCAGGGGCUACCUUCCCUAGUCAACUUCCCAUUAAUCCUCCUGCAGUGAGGAAGGAAAACUAGCUUUAGCUUAUGUUUUCAGAGACUCCAGUCCACAGUCAGCUAACUCUGCUGCCCUCUGCCCUGGGCUGAGGCAUCAAAGCAGGACACAUGGUGCACAGCUCAUUGAUCAUCCCAUGGCAUCAGGGGAGGGCAUUUUGAAGUCACUUCAAACAGGUCGUAAACAUUUUCCCCAUGUCAGCCGGGAACUCACAGAACACCAUCACCCCUUCUGCUUCUUCUCCUUCACUGCGGUUUUCCUACGGAGACAUCUGUCUGAUGCCACUGUAGUCCUCAGACCAUUGCUUCUGGAGUCCACUUUGUCUCUAGAGUGGCUAGAAACCCCCGAAUCACAUUUCUAGAGUCAGCCCUAACCAGCCACUGCCAGGAAGGAUACCCAGGUCGUAUUGGAGGACGGAACGACCAGGAACUUGGCAUGGUAUGCCAGCCCGCUGUGAGUGUAUGCUUUCUGAGCAUGGAUAGCCCCAGUGACCCCUCUCACCUGCUGUAUCUCCUUUGGUGGGGUGGGCAGAAGCCCUCGUCUGGCCAUCUGUGGCAGUGUCUCUGCCGAGGCUGAUGCUCCACAGACCCCUGGAAUCUCCACAUUCACUGACGUCUUAGGUGUGUGUGGCCUGUACAGCUUGCCUUCGUCUGGCCCCAGCUGUUCUCUUUCUCCUCUCAUGGGAUACUCCCCACCCUCAAGAGCCAGCCUUGCUAGCUGUGUUUUCCUCAGGUCUUAGCUGAGCAUAAUCAUCCCCCAACACACUGAGUGGGACAGACAAGAGGCCCUCUUGUUACACCAGAGGAAGCUGACCACAUCAAAUCACAGACAAGGUAUGUAGCCAGAAGUCAGAGGUGCAAGGGACAGAGCUCCCCGUCAGCUACAACCACCAUUCCCUUCCUAGAGGUUUCCCAAAGGCAUUCGGUACCCCUGAACCUACAAGACAGUAUAUAUACCCCCAACCUACUGGUCCCAGGCGGGCUUCACAGAACCAAGGGUCCUUGCAGCCCUGCCCACAGUGCCUCACGAGGAAAUGUGGUACUUUCUCAAGCCAGUGAGGCAAAGGUCACUGCUAGGGAGUUAAAUCUAGGGGCAGCAUCCCAGAUUUAAAGAGCAAGCCAUAAGGAAGGCUGCUCUCCACUUCCUCUGUGUGUUACCUCAUCAAAGUGUGAUGUCUAGGGCAUCCCAGCCCACAGGCAAAGCCGCACCAUAUACCAGUGAACAGAGAAACAACUGCUCUCCUCAGGCCGCUGAGGAGCUGAAGCUGCCAGCCCCCGGGCUCUCUGGAGCGUUUCCAUAGCUCAUGGCUCCCAGCUGAACACAGCCAGUCAGAUCUACUCCCGUUUCUGCUGCACCCCCAUCUCUCCCCUCUGUGCUUGCUGUGCAGUAAGUGUGUAAUAUUUGUGAACGUGUAGUGUGUCGGUGUCCCCUGUAGCAGACCGGGCAAUGAGACUUAAUGUGUCAUAUGAAGGGAGUGUUCCAGGGGACACAAAUAAGGGAGCAGAUAUAGGACAAGGGUUGGUGAGGGACAGCACUGGAGCUGGGCUGUCCUCACCCCCACUCUUCAGUAUCAGGCCAUGGCGUUCUCCAGGGACACAGGCACCCAGGCCUUUCCUCAGAGCAGCGCAAGCGACACUGGUCAGACUGUGUUGAAGCAAUAGCAGGAAGCAGCGAGGACCUAGGUGGGGCGCCAGCACUGUGUCUGUCAGUACAACUGUCUGUCUGUCUCAGGACCACUUUCCCAUGGGUGAUACUACCCACAGUGGGAUGGACCCUCCAAUUCUCAGUCAAGAAAGUGCCCGGCAGCACAGUAUCCAACAGACAGCAAAGCCAGGGCUGCCUCCAGACCUGCUGUCCCUUUCACCAUCCUUCCUAGGACCAGAGGGGAUGCCGCCUGCUCAGGAUGGACUCUAUUGAAAUGUAAAAUACACACUUUGCAUAUCAAAAGCAUCAUUGUGUUUAGCUAUGCAUCUCCAGUUUCUUCUUGCAAAACAUUGAAACCUAGCUCAUAAUUUGAUGAUAAAAUAUUGAUUAUUUAUUGACAGCCACAUGCAGAGGUCCAUGGCACAUGAACGGGAGGCCCACCCUGCAUUAUCUGUAUUUUAAGUCAAUAUGAAGAUGGAUAUUCUACCCCUGAGAUGAAUUUUGUUAAAGUGCUUUUGUCAAUAAAAAGACACUCCUGUUAGAGUGUGCCAACUCCUGCUAUUGGCCUGGGGUCUGCUUCUCCACACACCAGGCGGCUCCAAGAGAGGCUUCCAACCUCCAGCAGCUCCUGGUCAGUCUGCAUAUUUCUUUAAGCCAUGUGAGUGAAAAAUAUCAAGGAAUGGUGAGUUGGCAUUCCAGGUGAGAGAGAAUGAAAAGAAAAGCGAACACAACUUAUAAACAAAUCUGGGAGAGCUUCAUCACCAUCCAUAGCAACUGCGUGUCUUCUGCUUCCAAGAUAGAAGAGCGGAAGUGUGGACCAUCUCUGAGCGUCUGCCCUGACUGCCUACCCAGCAGCGUCUUCCCACAUCCUCCUGAAGACACUGUCAGUCUCAGCACCUCCGGCCAACAAGCAACAUGGAAACAGACAGAGGCCCCACUGUUUGCUGACGUUCACUGACUGUCCUUCAGGUCACCCUCUGCGAUGUGUCACCGAGGGGGAGCCAAUCCUCGAGUGCCUGUCCUAUCAGAGUCGGCCUCUGUCUGCAUCUGUCACUGCUGAUUGCAUUUGAAUGACUUUGCCUCUUUUUUAAAUAAAAGAUUUAUGCCUUA